rnacentral:rRNA from 1 species
GGAUUAGAUACCCUGGUAGUCCACACCGUAAACGCUGUCUACUAGCUGUUUGUAACUAUAAGUUGUGAGUAGCGAAGCUAACGCGCUAAGUAGACCGCCUGGGGAGUACGGUCGCAAGAUUAAAACUCAAAUGAAUUGACGGGGGCCCGCACAAGCGGUGGAGCAUGUGGUUUAAUUCGAUGCAACGCGAAGAACCUUACCUACACUUGACAUUCAGAGUAUUUAGCAGAGAUGCUUUAGUGCCUUCGGGAGCUCUGGGACAGGUGCUGCAUGGCUGUCGUCAGCUCGUGCUG